AAGAUCAUACUUUUUGGGAUCAUUUCUAGAUUCUAUAUGCAACGUUUGACAACCAAACUUGCAAAGCAGAUCACCCCUGAUGAGGAUUUGUAGAUUACCUUCUUGAGCGUGAAGUCUUGUCUAGUUCAAUUUGAACAUGACUAUGAUGACCGUUUGAUGUACACACCAGUAGAUCGAUGGAAAGUAAUUAUUCUGAGGGAU
rnacentral:snoRNA from 1 species